rnacentral:rRNA from 1 species
GUGCCAGCAGCCGCGGUAAGACGAACCGAGCGAACGUUGUUCGGAAUCACUGGGCUUAAAGGGCGCGUAGGCGGGUGCUCAAGUCCGGGGUGAAAUCCCACAGCUCAACUGUGGAACUGCCUCGGAUACUGGGUGCCUCGAGGGUGGUAGGGGUCCGCGGAACUAUCGGUGGAGCGGUGAAAUGCGUUGAUAUCGAUAGGAACUCCGGUGGCGAAGGCGGCGGGCUGGACCACAUCUGACGCUGAGGCGCGAAAGCCAGGGGAGCAAACGGGAUUAGAUACCCUCGUAGUCC